rnacentral:rRNA from 1 species
CCUACGGGGGGCAGCAGUGGGGAAUAUUGCACAAUGGGGGAAACCCUGAUGCAGCGACGCCGCGUGAGUGAAGAAGUAUUUCGGUAUGUAAAGCUCUAUCAGCAGGGAAGAAAAAAGACGGUACCUGACUAAGAAGCCCCGGCUAACUACGGGCCAGCAGCCGCGGUAAUACGUAGGGGGCAAGCGUUAGCCGGAUUUACUGGGUGUAAAGGGAGCGUAGACGGUGCUGCAAGUCUGAAGUGAAAGGCCGGGGCUUAACCCCUGAACUGCUUUGGAAACUGCCAUGCUAGAGUGCUGGAGAGGUAAGUGGAAUUCCUAGUGUAGCGGUGAAAUGCGUAGAUAUUAGGAGGAACACCAGUGGCGAAGGCGGCUUACUGGACAGUAACUGACGUUGAGGCUCGAAAGCGUGGGGAGCAAACAGGAUUAGAUACCCCUGUAGUC